GAAAUGCGAUAAGUAAUGUGAAUUGCAGAAUUCAGUGAAUCAUCGAAUCUUUGAACGCACCUUGCGCUCCUUGGUAUUCCUUGGAGCAUGCCUGUUUGAGUAUCAUGAAAUCUUCAAAGUAAAUCUUUUGUUAACUCAAUUGGUUUCUACUUUGGUAUUGGAGGUCUUUGCAGCUUCACACCUGCUCCUCUUUGUUCAUUAGCUGGAUCUCAGUGUUAUGCUUGGUUCCACUCGGCGUGAUAAGUUAUCUAUCGCUAAGGACACUGUAAAAGGUGGCCAAGGUAAAUGCAGAUGAACCGCUUCUAAUAGUCCAUUGACUUGGACAAUACUUUUAUGAUCUGAUCUCAAAUCAGGUAGGACUACCCGCUGAACUUAAGC
rnacentral:misc_RNA from 1 species